rnacentral:SRP_RNA from 1 species
CCGUGCUAGACGGGGAGGCAGCGGUGCCCUGUAACCUGCAAUCCGCUAUAGCAGGGUCGAAGUCCCCUUGGAGGCUUUGUACUUUGUGGGGCCGGCUCGAACAAGUGGUGAUGAGGGCCAGGUCCUACGCAACGGAAAGUCAUGAAGCCCGUCAGGUCCGGAAGGAAGCAGCGGUAAGUGACCCCUUUCGUGUGCCGUGGGAGUGCCUGGUUAGAGCUAACUAUUCGGGUAACGCCUAUGAAGACAAGUCGAAUUGGGGUGCACGG